ensembl:lncRNA
UGGGGUGCAUUAAGUUCUUCGAUUUCUUCCCCUUUCUUUCUAGUGUGAAUUGAAAGGAAAGAACUGGCUAGUAGGAUUGAUGAGGAAACAAGAAAUACAUGAAAUGAGUAUGGAGGCUGGAUUGGAAACAUCCGGGGAGUUACAAGUCUGACAGAUGGGUUAUUAAACUGCCAUAGCUACACUACGAAGCCAGAUGCAAACCAAAUUGCCAAGCUGAGGGAGUGCCUGUCUGUACUGUAUGUACAUGUAUAUAUGUGUGUAUAUACACACGCAUAUUUCUGCAAUCACAUAGACUAGGUGUUGCAUACUUUUUUUUUUUGUGCAAUGGAUAAAAAUUAAUUCAAGCACCAGGUGAAGCAAUCUGAC